GACGAACGCUGGCGGCGUGCUUAACACAUGCAAGUCGAACGGAAAGGCCCUGCUUUGGUGGGGUGCUCGAGUGGCGAACGGGUGAGUAACACGUGAGUAACCUGCCCUUGACUUUGGGAUAACUUAAGGAAACUGGGGGUAAUACCGGAUAGGAGCUCCUGCUGCAUGGUGGGGGUUGGAAGGUUUCGGCGGUUGGGGAUGGACUCGCGGCUUAUCAGCUUGUUGGUGGGGUAGUGGCUUACCAAGGCUUGGACGGGUAGCCGGCCUGCUAGGGUGACCGGCCACAUUGGGAUUGAGAUACGGCCCAGACUCCUACGGGAGGCAGCAGUGGGGAAUAGUGUACAGUGGGCGGAAGCCUGAUGCAGCAACGCCGCGUGCGGGAUGACGGCCUUCGGGUUGUAAACCGCUUUCGCCUGUGACGAAGCGUGAGUGACGGUAAUGGGUAAAUAAGCACCGGCUAACUACGUG
rnacentral:rRNA from 1 species